UAUUAUAUAAGGGAGCUGUUAUUUUGUAUCAGACAUUUAUAUUGUAAAGACUUUUCACUCCAUAUUGAUUAAUUCCAGAUAAUAAUAUAUCAUGAAAGUACACAUUUAUACAUUUGCCAUAGUUUUACUUGCUGGCUUUUUGGACAUGGACACUUUUUGUGUAGAUGGCGCUGAAGGUCAAGGCCCUAUACCAUGCUUCUCCGACUCUGAGUGCGAACCCAUCUGUGAAUCAAAAUGUCGUGCCCCAUAUUUUGCUCUCUGCACUGAAGCUUGCUGGUGUGGUCCACUCGAAGACAAAAAAUAGCUGGUCUUGACAAUAACAUACUUGCUUAAAAUGAUUUAAGUACGUGUGUGACCCUAUAUAUUUAUUUACUAAGAUCACAACCCUCACUGUUGCGUUAUAGAUGGUCGAUAAUAUAAUAUAAUAUUGUUUCAUGUAA